rnacentral:rRNA from 1 species
GAUGAACGCUAGCGCUAGGCUUAACACAUGCAAGUCGAGGGGUAACGUGUUGGAAGCUUGCUUCCGAUGACGACGACCGGCGGAUGGGUGCGUAACGCGUAUGCAACUUGCCUCACAGUGGAGAAUAACCCGGAGAAAUCCGGACUAAUACUCCAUACACUCUUAAGUACGCCUGUACAUGAGAGGAAAGAUUUAUCGCUGUGAGAUAGGCAUGCGUCCUAUUAGGUAGUUGGUGAGGUAACGGCUCACCAAGCCGACGAUAGGUAGGGGUGCUGAGAGGCAGAUCCCCCACAUUGGGACUGAGACACGGCCCAAACUCCUACGGGAGGCAGCAGUGAGGAAUAUUGGUCAAGGGAGGAAACUCUGAACCAGCCAAGUCGCGUGAAGGAAGAAUGUCCUAAGGAUUGUAAACUUCUUUAGCGAGCGAGUAAGGACUUCCACGUGAUGGGAGUUUGAAAGUAGCUCGAGAAUAAGUAUCGGCUAACUCCGUG